rnacentral:rRNA from 1 species
GAUGAACGCUGGCGGCGUGCCUAAUACAUGCAAGUCGAGCGAACGGACGAGAAGCUUGCUUCUCUGAUGUUAGCGGCGGACGGGUGAGUAACACGUGGAUAACCUACCUAUAAGACUGGGAUAACUUCGGGAAACCGGAGCUAAUACCGGAUAAUAUUUUGAACCGCAUGGUUCAAAAGUGAAAGACGGUCUUGCUGUCACUUAUAGAUGGAUCCGCGCUGCAUUAGCUAGUUGGUAAGGUAACGGCUUACCAAGGCAACGAUGCAUAGCCGACCUGAGAGGGGGAUCGGCCACACUGGAACUGAGACACGGUCCAGACUCCUACGGGAGGCAGCAGUAGGGAAUCUUCCGCAAUGGGCGAAAGCCUGACGGAGCAACGCCGCGUGAGUGAUGAAGGUCUUCGGAUCGUAAAACUCUGUUAUUAGGGAAGAACAUAUGUGUAAGGAACUGUGCACAUCGUGACGGUACCUAAUCAGAAAGCCACGGCUAACUACGUG